UGUAGUGAUAAUUUACAACAUAGACUCAUUAAAUAUAUCACACAACAAGGUUAAGAAGCAGUACAAUCUAGCUUACAUAACAAAACAAAUAAACUUCCAAGGGUGUUAUUCAGGAUCUUGCCGUUGACUCUCCUGAUGGCAACUAUCAUGUUGUGGCGGGUUAUGAUGGGUAGCACCGAGUAGCCCGCUACCCAAUCAUACCUAGCAUAUCCAGCCAUCCCCACCACCAUCAUCAAAGGAAGCCACCAUAUUGCCUCAACCCAUGCUCCCAAGGACCAGCAUGGAUUUGCCUGCACAUGUACAAAAUGUAAGACUUGCUAAAAAAUUAGAAGUAUGGAUUUAAGCAUGGGUUUUCAUCCAUACAUGAAACUGUACAUAAAGUAAAGUGAACCAUGCAUGUGAGCUUCAAAUAACCCCCAAAAAAGCUUCAAAUAAUUGUAUUUUUACUAUGACGCCGAUGCAACACCAAUGCAGCACAAUCUAGCAAUCAACAACAUUUAGGAUAACAUAACAUCAUGUAUGAAAUAUCAAAUGGGAAAAGAAACAAAAACACGAUAAUGGAUGAUAAAGAUCCUGGUCCAUAUGUUCUUUCCCUUUCUUAAUUUUCAUAAUACACACAUUCAGUCGCAAUAAAGAUCAAACUAGUUCCAUGGUUUGGUUCUAUAGCAGGUUGGUAAAAAAGGCCAGUUAAUGAAAAGGGAACAAUCAGUUAGCUAGUCAUUCAUAAAGUACAGGUAUGUAAGAGAAAAUAAGAAUAAUCAUAACAACAUGAAUAUAUAUUAGCUCCUACCAAUAUUGCAUAUAGUAUUAUGAGAAAUAAGAUGUUCAUUAAAGCAACACAAAAUGAUAAGAUUGGACCUGAAUAAGAACACAGUGAAGGUAUGGACAGGCUUUAUUUGGACGACGAAAUGCUGCUAUACGCCUGCAUUGACCAAAAAACUUGUUUGUUCAUUACAUGAUGUAAGUAUGUCAAAUGGAUUGAUCAUGAUUUGAUUUUCAAUAACAGAAAUGCUUAUGUCGAAUAUUUUAAAAUGCCAACUAUGGCCACUGUCUUCCAAGACAAAUAAAAUGCAUACAUUAAUUUGUUUAUUUAUCUGCAAAGAAAAUUAGGUACUCAUAGAAACGACUACAUACUACUAACUAUUUUUAUUUGUAUAUUGUUCUACAUGUCAAAAAUGAUUUAGUUAUAUAAACUGAAUGAUAAAUAUGUUUAUUUAUCAUAUAGGUAUAUGUUUCCAAGAUAAACAUAACCUAAAUGACUGACGAGCAGGGACAUCAUGAAAUCUACAUCCCAUAACUUGUAACAAACAUUUUUUCUGUCGUAUAUUACUUCACCCAAAAUCUAAUAAUAGACAAUAUUGUGAUCAAGAUUUAGUUUCACAUGUUACAGUGGGACAUAGACACAUUGUUAUGAAAAUGAUUUAUUUGAAGCGUUAAAAUGACGAGCAUGUCCUAAUAGAACAGUAGUUAUUAAAUGAAAAAAAUGUAGGCAUAAACUGAAACACAUGGUGGUCAGAAAACGCUAUAAAUCCACGACUUGAUUUCUCUUACUGAAACACGAACUCUGGGUUCAUACUUAUAGCAGUAAUAUAUACAAAUUAGCAAAGAAGCCAGGACUUCAGGAAAUGGAAAUCUUACCUCUCCAAUAUCUAAGUUGUACGUGUGUUAGUGUGUGAGAUUAAAUGUUUGAGUAUGAUGUUCUCAGCUAGUGGUCGGGGAGCAGUAGUUUGGCAUCGAGCUGCUAGCACUUGCAGCAGCAAUAGUGUUCAGGGUGGGACAACCAGAGGUGCUAGGAAACGGUGGCGAUGAACACGCACAGCAGCAGCAAGAAUGUGGAGUGGCAUUUUGAGGGAGAAGCUCCUGUGGCCACUCAAGUUUAAGUCGCUACGAUAGAAAUAAACUGUUAGCCUGAAAUGCAGUAAACAUUACUUAAAGCCUCGUUAACUAUAAAAUCUUGACUUUUUCAUAUACAAAGGAUAGGGAAAUGAACGACGGCAAAAGCAAGAAGGAUGAGUUCACAUUUUCUGGUGAUUAUUUCAAUAGAAGCAAUCAUUUUAUUCCCUUUUCU
rnacentral:lncRNA from 1 species